GAUGAACGCUGGCGGCGUGCCUAAUACAUGCAAGUCGAGCGAACGGACGAGAAGCUUGCUUCUCUGAUGUUAGCGGCGGACGGGUGAGUAACACGUGGAUAACCUACCUAUAAGACUGGGAUAACUUCGGGAAACCGGAGCUAAUACCGGAUAAUAUUUUGAACCGCAUGGUUCAAAAGUGAAAGACGGUCUUGCUGUCACUUAUAGAUGGAUCCGCGCUGCAUUAGCUAGUUGGUAAGGUAACGGCUUACCAAGGCAACGAUGCAUAGCCGACCUGAGAGGGUGAUCGGCCACACUGGAACUGAGACACGGUCCAGACUCCUACGGGAGGCAGCAGUAGGGAAUCUUCCGCAAUGGGCGAAAGCCUGACGGAGCAACGCCGCGUGAGUGAUGAAGGUCUUCGGAUCGUAAAACUCUGUUAUUAGGGAAGAACAUAUGUGUAAGUAACUGUGCACAUCUUGACGGUACCUAAUCAGAAAGCCACGGCUAACUACGUGCCAGCAGCCGCGGUAAUACGUAGGUGGCAAGCGUUAUCCGGAAUUAUUGGGCGUAAAGCGCGCGUAGGCGGUUUUUUAAGUCUGAUGUGAAAGCCCACGGCUCAACCGUGGAGGGUCAUUGGAAACUGGAAAACUUGAGUGCAGAAGAGGAAAGUGGAAUUCCAUGUGUAGCGGUGAAAUGCGCAGAGAUAUGGAGGAACACCAGUGGCGAAGGCGACUUUCUGGUCUGUAACUGACGCUGAUGUGCGAAAGCGUGGGGAUCAAACAGGAUUAGAUACCCUGGUAGUCCGCGCCGUAAACGAUGAGUGCUAAGUGUUAGGGGGUUUCCGCCCCUUAGUGCUGCAGCUAACGCAUUAAGCACUCCGCCUGGGGAGUACGACCGCAAGGUUGAAACUCAAAGGAAUUGACGGGGACCCGCACAAGCGGUGGAGCAUGUGGUUUAAUUCGAAGCAACGCGAAGAACCUUACCAAAUCUUGACAUCCUUUGACAACUCUAGAGAUAGAGCUUUCCCCUUCGGGGGACAAAGUGACAGGUGGUGCAUGGUUGUCGUCAGCUCGUGUCGUGAGAUGUUGGGUUAAGUCCCGCAACGAGCGCAACCCUUAAGCUUAGUUGCCAUCAUUAAGUUGGGCACUCUAAGUUGACUGCCGGUGACAAACCGGAGGAAGGUGGGGAUGACGUCAAAUCAUCAUGCCCCUUAUGAUUUGGGCUACACACGUGCUACAAUGGACAAUACAAAGGGCAGCGAAACCGCGAGGUCAAGCAAAUCCCAUAAAGUUGUUCUCAGUUCGGAUUGUAGUCUGCAACUCGACUACAUGAAGCUGGAAUCGCUAGUAAUCGUAGAUCAGCAUGCUACGGUGAAUACGUUCCCGGGUCU
rnacentral:rRNA from 1 species